GUGAAUCAUCGAAUUUUUGAACGCAAAUUGCACUCUCCUCGGAGAGUAUGCCUGUUUGAGGGUCAGCCUAUAAAAAAUCAACAUCUUUGCGGUUUCGCGGUGGCGUUCGUCGGAAAUGGGGGCAUCUUAAAUCUUUUGGUUUUAAUCUGCUUAAAAUUUUCUUUUUGUUUCCAUUAACGUUUCUAAGAUUUAUUUCUUUACACGUUUAAGGUAUCUAUUUUUAUUAAACGUGUCCUUUGCAUCGGAUCACUUCCAUAAAUAUUUCGUUAA
rnacentral:misc_RNA from 1 species